GCGGGGUCUUUGAGCCUCAGCAAAAAGAGUGAGAAGAAAGAACAGGACCUGCACACCCCACCUGCAGGAGAAGCUCCCCAAAGCCAGGGACAGAGACCAGCGGGGUGCCCUGCCCACUCAGCCUAAGAGGGUGGCCUGUGUGAGCACUUGCCUCAGGAAAGACACAGGCAGGCCCUGCCGACGUGGGUGCAGGCACGUCCUUGGAGCGCAAGGAGGAAACCCUGUUGCCAGGACCAGGUUGGGAAGGACAAAACAAGAAACCGAACUUGAAUCUGACCAGAUCUCUAUGCAUUAUUAUCAACCGAAAAAAAGACGUGGACAGAGGAACUUGUUCAACGCCAUGGUGGGGAUGCACUCGGCCAAAUCCAGCCUGUGGGAGACAACAGCUUCUCCAACACAAAAGUUAUGCAGGAAAAGUAAAAAGGUGGCGAGGAGCACUGGGUUUAAAAGGGCUUGAGAAAGAAGCCGUUUCCAGGUGAUAGUGUUGAGUUAAAAGAGCCGAGAGUGUCAAAGAGUGUCUGUAGCACACCACCUCCCACGGGCGAGAAAAUCAACAUGGACUGCUCGUUUGUGCAAAGGAAACUCAGGAAGGAUAAGCCUGAUCCUGAUGAAAUUAGUUAUAGAGCCGGUGGAGGGGCCCCAGGGUGAAAAGAAUGGGUGAUGGGGACAGAGUAGAGAGAUGGACGGAGAGGGCCACCCGAGUGUACCUAUUUGAAGAGCUCUGACUUUAGAGUCUUGUGAGCGUUGCAUGCAGUCAAAACAUUUUGUAGAUCAGCAGGGAUGGGAGGGAACCCCAAAUGGAAUACAACCCAUCAGCAGGGAUGGGAGGGAACCCCAAAUGGAAUACAACCCGAAAUAAAUCAAACUAAGGGUUUUGCGAAUAAACUCCA
rnacentral:lncRNA from 1 species